UUUCAGUUGUGAGGAAAAGUUAGUAGUUAAUACCUGCUAGCCGUGACGUUAACAACAGAAGAAGCACCGGCUAACUCCGUGCCAGCAGCCGCGGUAAUACGGAGGGUGCGAGCGUUAAUCGGAAUUACUGGGCGUAAAGCGCACGCAGGCGGUUUGUUAAGCUAGAUGUGAAAGCCCCGGGCUCAACCUGGGACGGUCAUUUAGAACUGGCAGACUAGAGUCUUGGAGAGGGGAGUGGAAUUCCAGGUGUAGCGGUGAAAUGCGUAGAUAUCUGGAGGAACAUCAGUGGCGAAGGCGACUCCCUGGCCAAAGACUGACGCUCAUGUGCGAAAGUGUGGGUAGCGAACAGGAUUAGAUACCCUGGUAGUCCACACCGUAAACGCUGUCUACUAGCUGUUUGUGGCUUUAAGCYGUGAGUAGCGAAGCUAACGCGAUAAGUAGACCGCCUGGGGAGUACGGCCGCAAGGUUAAAACUCAAAUGAAUUGACGGGGGCCCGCACAAGCGGUGGAGCAUGUGGUUUAAUUCGAUGCAACGCGAAGAACCUUACCUACACUUGACAUGUUGAGAAGUUACCAGAGAUGGUUUCGUGCCUUCGGGAACUCAAACACAGGUGCUGCAUGG
rnacentral:rRNA from 1 species